AUUGAACGCUAGCGGGAUGCUUUACACAUGCAAGUCGAACGAGUGGCGGACGGGUGGGUAAUAUAUCGGCACGUGCCCAGUAGCGGGGGAUAGCUACUCGACAGAGUGGCUAAUACCGCCUACUAUUGGAGCGGCCGAUAUCGGAUUAGCUAGUUGGUGGGGUAAAGGCUCACCAAGGCAACGAUCCGUAGCUGGUUUGAGAGGAGGACCAGCCACACUGGGACUGAGACACGGCCCAGACUCCUACGGGAGGCAGCAGUGGGGAAUUUUGGACAAUGGGCGAAACCCUGAUCCAGCCAUCCCGCGUGUAUGAGAAGGCCUUCGGGUUGUAAAGUACUUUUGGUUGAGAAGCGGUAUCUGCAGAAUAAGCACCGGCUAACUACGUGCCAGCCGCCGCGGUAAUAC
rnacentral:rRNA from 1 species